CUACGGGAUGCAGCAGUGAGGAAUAUUGCACAAUGGGGGGAACCCUGAUGCAGCAACGCCGCGUGGAGGAUGACGCAUUUCGGUGUGUAAACUCCUUUUAUAUGUCAAGAAAAUGACGGUAGCAUAUGAAUAAGCACCGGCUAACUCCGUGCCAGCAGCCGCGGUAGAUACAGAGGUCUCAAGCGUUGUUCGGAUUCAUUGGGCGUAAAGGGUGCGUAGGUGGCGAUGUAAGUCGGAUGUGAAAUCUCCAAGCUUAACUUGGAAACUGCAUUCGAUACUGCGUUGCUCGAGGACUGUAGAGGGCAGUGGAAUUCACGGUGUAGCAGUGAAGUGCGUAGAUAUCGUGAGGAAGACCAGUGGCGAAGGCGAAUGCCUGGGCAGUUCCUGACACUGAGGCACGAAGGCCAGGGGAGCAAACGGGAUUAGAUACCCGCGUAGUC
rnacentral:rRNA from 1 species